AACCGAAUAGGGUAGCCGAAGAGAAUCGAGUCCGAAUAGGGCGUCUAGUCGCUGGGUGUAGACCCGAAACCAAGUGAUCUAUCCAUGGCCAGGAUGAAGGUGCGGUAACACGCACUGGAGGUCCGAACCGACUAGUGUUGCAAAAACUAGCGGAUGAGCUGUGGAUAGGGGUGAAAGGCUAAACAAACUUGGAAAUAGCUGGUUCUCUCCGAAAACUAUUUUAGGUAGUGCCUCAAGUAUUACCAUCGGGGGUAGAGCACUGUUUAGGCUAGGGGGUCAUGGCGACUUACCAAACCUUGGCAAACUCCGAAUACCGAUGAGUACAGCUUGGGAGACAGUGCACCGGGUGCUAACGUCCGGACACAAGAGGGAAACAACCCAGACCGCCAGCUAAGGUCCCCUAAAAAUUGGCUAAGUGGGAAACGAAGUGGGAAGGCUAAAACAGUCAGGAUGUUGGCUUAGAAGCAGCCAUCAUUUAAAGAAAGCGUAAUAGCUCACUGAUCGAGUCGUCCUGCGCGGAAGAUGUAACGGGGC
rnacentral:rRNA from 1 species